rnacentral:rRNA from 1 species
GACGUAGGGGGCGAGCGUUGUCCGGAUUUAUUGGGCGUAAAGCGCGCGUAGGCGGCCCGCUAAGUCGGAUGUGAAAACCCGUGGCUCAACCACGGGCCUGCAUCCGAUACUGGCGGGCUCGAGGCAGGCAGGGGAGAUCGGAAUUCCUGGUGUAGCGGUGAAAUGCGCAGAUAUCAGGAGGAACACCGGUGGCGAAGGCGGAUCUCUGGGCCUUACCUGACGCUGAGGCGCGAAAGCUAGGGGAGCAAACAGG